GGGUUGUGAGGUUAAGCGACUAAGCGUACACGGUGGAUGCCCUGGCAGUCAGAGGCGAUGAAGGACGUGCUAAUCUGCGAUAAGCGUCGGUAAGGUGAUAUGAACCGUUAUAACCGGCGAUUUCCGAAUGGGGAAACCCAGUGUGAUUCGUCACACUAUCAUUAACUGAAUCCAUAGGUUAAUGAGGCGAACCGGGGGAACUGAAACAUCUAAGUACCCCGAGGAAAAGAAAUCAACCGAGAUUCCCCCAGUAGCGGCGAGCGAACGGGGAGCAGCCCAGAGCCUGAAUCAGUGUGUGUGUUAGUGGAAGCGUCUGGAAAGGCGUGCGAUACAGGGUGACAGCCCCGUACACAAAAAUGCACAUACUGUGAGCUCGAUGAGUAGGGCGGGACACGUGGUAUCCUGUCUGAAUAUGGGGGGACCAUCCUCCAAGGCUAAAUACUCCUGACUGACCGAUAGUGAACCAGUACCGUGAGGGAAAGGCGAAAAGAACCCCGGCGAGGGGAGUGAAAAAGAACCUGAAACCGUGUACGUACAAGCAGUGGGAGCACGCUUAGGCGUGUGACUGCGUACCUUUUGUAUAAUGGGUCAGCGACUUAUAUUCUGUAGCAAGGUUAACCGAAUAGGGGAGCCGAAGGGAAACCGAGUCUUAACUGGGCGUUAAGUUGCAGGGUAUAGACCCGAAACCCGGUGAUCUAGCCAUGGGCAGGUUGAAGGUUGGGUAACACUAACUGGAGGACCGAACCGACUAAUGUUGAAAAAUUAGCGGAUGACUUGUGGCUGGGGGUGAAAGGCCAAUCAAACCGGGAGAUAGCUGGUUCUCCCCGAAAGCUAUUUAGGUAGCGCCUCGUGAAUUCAUCUCCGGGGGUAGAGCACUGUUUCGGCAAGGGGGUCAUCCCGACUUACCAACCCGAUGCAAACUGCGAAUACCGGAGAAUGUUAUCACGGGAGACACACGGCGGGUGCUAACGUCCGUCGUGAAGAGGGAAACAACCCAGACCGCCAGCUAAGGUCCCAAAGUCAUGGUUAAGUGGGAAACGAUGUGGGAAGGCCCAGACAGCCAGGAUGUUGGCUUAGAAGCAGCCAUCAUUUAAAGAAAGCGUAAUAGCUCACUGGUCGAGUCGGCCUGCGCGGAAGAUGUAACGGGGCUAAACCAUGCACCGAAGCUGCGGCAGCGACGCUUAUGCGUUGUUGGGUAGGGGAGCGUUCUGUAAGCCUGUGAAGGUGUGCUGUGAGGUAUGCUGGAGGUAUCAGAAGUGCGAAUGCUGACAUAAGUAACGAUAAAGCGGGUGAAAAGCCCGCUCGCCGGAAGACCAAGGGUUCCUGUCCAACGUUAAUCGGGGCAGGGUGAGUCGACCCCUAAGGCGAGGCCGAAAGGCGUAGUCGAUGGGAAACAGGUUAAUAUUCCUGUACUUGGUGUUACUGCGAAGGGGGACGGAGAAGGCUAUGUUGGCCGGGCGACGGUUGUCCCGGUUUAAGCGUGUAGGCUGGUUUUCCAGGCAAAUCCGGAAAAUCAAGGCCGAGGCGUGAUGACGAGGCACUACGGUGCUGAAGCAACAAAUGCCCUGCUUCCAGGAAAAGCCUCUAAGCAUCAGGUAACAUCAAAUCGUACCCCAAACCGACACAGGUGGUCAGGUAGAGAAUACCAAGGCGCUUGAGAGAACUCGGGUGAAGGAACUAGGCAAAAUGGUGCCGUAACUUCGGGAGAAGGCACGCUGAUACGUAGGUGAAGCGACUUGCUCGUGGAGCUGAAAUCAGUCGAAGAUACCAGCUGGCUGCAACUGUUUAUUAAAAACACAGCACUGUGCAAACACGAAAGUGGACGUAUACGGUGUGACGCCUGCCCGGUGCCGGAAGGUUAAUUGAUGGGGUUAGCGCAAGCGAAGCUCUUGAUCGAAGCCCCGGUAAACGGCGGCCGUAACUAUAACGGUCCUAAGGUAGCGAAAUUCCUUGUCGGGUAAGUUCCGACCUGCACGAAUGGCGUAAUGAUGGCCAGGCUGUCUCCACCCGAGACUCAGUGAAAUUGAACUCGCUGUGAAGAUGCAGUGUACCCGCGGCAAGACGGAAAGACCCCGUGAACCUUUACUAUAGCUUGACACUGAACAUUGAGCCUUGAUGUGUAGGAUAGGUGGGAGGCUUUGAAGUGUGGACGCCAGUCUGCAUGGAGCCGACCUUGAAAUACCACCCUUUAAUGUUUGAUGUUCUAACGUGGACCCGUGAUCCGGGUUGCGGACAGUGUCUGGUGGGUAGUUUGACUGGGGCGGUCUCCUCCUAAAGAGUAACGGAGGAGCACGAAGGUUGGCUAAUCCUGGUCGGACAUCAGGAGGUUAGUGCAAUGGCAUAAGCCAGCUUGACUGCGAGCGUGACGGCGCGAGCAGGUGCGAAAGCAGGUCAUAGUGAUCCGGUGGUUCUGAAUGGAAGGGCCAUCGCUCAACGGAUAAAAGGUACUCCGGGGAUAACAGGCUGAUACCGCCCAAGAGUUCAUAUCGACGGCGGUGUUUGGCACCUCGAUGUCGGCUCAUCACAUCCUGGGGCUGAAGUAGGUCCCAAGGGUAUGGCUGUUCGCCAUUUAAAGUGGUACGCGAGCUGGGUUUAGAACGUCGUGAGACAGUUCGGUCCCUAUCUGCCGUGGGCGCUGGAGAACUGAGGGGGGCUGCUCCUAGUACGAGAGGACCGGAGUGGACGCAUCACUGGUGUUCGGGUUGUCAUGCCAAUGGCACUGCCCGGUAGCUAAAUGCGGAAGAGAUAAGUGCUGAAAGCAUCUAAGCACGAAACUUGCCCCGAGAUGAGUUCUCCCUGACCCUUUAAGGGUCCUGAAGGAACGUUGAAGACGACGACGUUGAUAGGCCGGGUGUGUAAGCGCAGCGAUGCGUUGAGCUAACCGGUACUAAUGAACCGUGAGGCUUAACCUUACAACGCCGAAG
rnacentral:rRNA from 3 species